AGGCGGACGGCCCACACACAGGUGGUGCCGUUGCAGCCUAAUAGAGGAUACUACAUAUGCAGCUCACACAGCCAUCAGCUUCAGUGUGAGCUCGCUGUGUAUGUGAAGACAGCAUUUAUAUUGAUCUGUGGGUUUCCAGCUCUGUAAGAUUCACUUGUCCUAUUUAAACUUGUGAGCUUCUAACAUACUCGGCGCUGGGGUCCUUUUUGCCUUCAAGCAAAUGAUGUGGCCACACUGACUAGGCUCCUUUCUGUUAUGCAGUAAGGGUUUCUGUUUAUUUGAUCGGCUGCUCAGCAUACCUUCUUGGAACCACAGAUCAAUAAUAACAUCCACCUACCUGACAUCUACACCCUCAUUUACCUUGCCUCUGAAAUACUCAGCAGGCUAUAGUAGUCCAUUCAUGGGCCUGCGCUGUCUCUCAGGUAUAUCCUUGUUACACAGGGACACCUUCCACCACUAGGGGGCGCUUGCAUCCAGGUUAUGGUUUUGUUGCGAUCGCUGCUCCAUGUGACCUCAUCCCACUUCUAUCAGACUAUCACCCUCCACGGGUUCCUGACGAAGCCUUACCGGCGAAACUAGUCGAACCUCUCUACGUGGGGUCUGAAGAAGACUACGUGCAGUCAUCUGCACUAUUAGUACUUUUUCCAUUUCUUGUCUGAAUAUUUUAAACUUAUGUCAAAUUUUUCUAUGCUUUUUGUAAUAAAUCUUUUAUAUCUAAUCAAUUGUUUGCUUGUAUGAUCCAUUUGUUUGGGGUUUGAUCAGGCUUAUACCAGGAUCCAGGGAUCCAUCCGAUC